GAUGAACGCUGGCGGCGUGCCUAAUACAUGCAAGUCGAGCGAACAGACGAGGAGCUUGCUCCUCUGACGUUAGCGGCGGACGGGUGAGUAACACGUGGAUAACCUACCUAUAAGACUGGGAUAACUUCGGGAAACCGGAGCUAAUACCGGAUAAUAUAUUGAACCGCAUGGUUCAAUAGUGAAAGACGGUUUUGCUGUCACUUAUAGAUGGAUCCGCGCCGCAUUAGCUAGUUGGUAAGUUAACGGCUUACCAAGGCAACGAUGCGUAGCCGACCUGAGAGGGUGAUCGGCCACACUGGAACUGAGACACGGUCCAGACUCCUACGGGAGGCAGCAGUAGGGAAUCUUCGGCAAUGGGCGAAAGCCUGACGGAGCAACGCCGCGUGAGGGAUGAAGGUCUUCGGAUCGUAAAACUCUGUUAUUAGGGAAGAACAAAUGUGUAAGUAACUAUGCACGUCUUGACGGUACCUAAUCAGAAAGCCACGGCUAACUACGUG
rnacentral:rRNA from 1 species